rnacentral:rRNA from 1 species
CACCCUCGGGUGGUAGAAACUGGCGCACGGGUGAGUAACGCGUGGGAAUUUGCCUUGGGGUGGGGGAUAACCGCUGGAAACGGCGGCUAAUACCGCAUACGCCCUGCGGGGGAAAGAUUUAUCGCCCUGGGAGAAGCCCGCGUUGGAUUAGCUUGUUGGUGGGGUAAAGGCCCACCAAGGCGACGAUCCAUAGCUGGUCUGAGAGGAUGAUCAGCCACACUGGGACUGAGACACGGCCCAGACUCCUACGGGAGGCAGCAGUGGGGAAUAUUGGACAAUGGGCGAAAGCCUGAUCCAGCCAUGCCGCGUGAGUGAAGAAGGCCUUAGGGUUGUAAAGCUCUUUCACCCGUGAAGAUGAUGACGGUAGCGGGAGAAGAAGCCCCGGCUAACUCCGUGCCAGCAGCCGCGGUAAUACGGAGGGGGCUAGCGUUGUUCAGAAUUACUGGGCGUAAAGGGCGCGUAGGCGGCCUGUCAAGUCAGGGGUGAAAGGCCCGGGCUCAACCCGGGAACUGCCCUUGAAACUGGCAAGCUAGAGUCCGAGAGAGGAUGGCGGAAUUCC